CCAGGGAACUUAGCGCGGCUUGGCAUGGCGGCUCCCAUCAGCCGCUGGACGCACAUGGGUUUUCGCCUCGCGUAGGGAGAAGCGGCCGCGUUUUCUCUUUCUUUCUUUCUCUCUCUCUCUCUCUCCUCCCUCCCCGCCUCCUUUCCUUUUCCGGGCAUCGAAUAACGGGGAACAUGCGAGCGCUGGAGCGGGUGUUGCUGAGGGGCUUCCCCAGCGCGGCGGAAUCCCCGCGGUGGAAACAGAGCGAGGCAGCUUCGGCGGCAGAAAGUGGAUCAUUAUUGCAGUUGUUGUUGGAAGGGAAUUAUGAAUCCAUCUUUCUAAGUAAAGCAGUCCAGAAUGUCUUCACCAUGUCUUCAGGAAAAGAGGACACCAUUGAAAACUACCUGGAAAAGCAGAUACAAGCUUACCUAGAUUGUUCUUCAGCAGACAUAGAUUCUAUUGAAAGGCAAAGUGUGGUGUUCCUCCUUGGUGUAGGAAGUUUACAGCUGUUUGCGCAGAGCAACUGGACUGGACCUCCUGUUGACUUACAACCUCAGGAUUUUCUUCCACCUGAAAUAUUGCAACAAUAUAAUGAGACCAGUGCAUUGUCAACUGCUAUCUUAGGAAUGCUGGUUCUAGAUGGUGAAUCAAUAUACAGCUUGGCCUCCCAACCUAUCUUGUUGAUGCUAGCUAGAGUCAUCCUUGUGAAUUCCAGAAACAAGCUAGAAGCUAUUCAGACAUUGCCCUGGUGGACACUGCGAUGUAUUAAUCUCCACCAGCAGUUGCUAGAAGAAAAGUCACCUGAACUCUUUGCUGUUGCCCAGGCCUGUAUACAACAAGUUUCUGAAAUUGAGACUUUAUUCAACGAUGAUGAAUGUUGGCAUCUUGCUGUUCAAUUUCAUCUCGAAUGUGCUUACACAUUUUUGAAUUAUUACGAGUAUAAAAAUGCGAAAGAACAUUUCCUUGCAGCUAAAGACAUAACUAAGUUACAGAUUGAGUUGACAGGUGCUCUAGGAAAAAGAACAAGAUUUCAGGAAAAAUAUGUAGCCCAACUGAUACUAGAUGUUCAGAGGAAAGAUAACAUCCUCCUUCCUUACCGAGAACUUAGUCCAGCACCUACUCCAUUAGAAGAUUUAACUAAGAAUUAUGCUUUAGAUGAUGACACCGUACUAAAUGAAAUAAAGUUUGAAAAAUCUCAUCAGAACCAGAUGCCUGACCUCUGUGCAGAAGAACUUGCUGUAAUCCUUGGCAUUUGUAUAGACUUUCAGAAAAACAAUCCUGUCCAUAAACUCACAGAAGAGGAGCUGCUUGCUUUUACAUCAUAUUUGCUCUCACAACCAAAGUUCUGGGCAAUCCAAACCUCUGCUCUUCUUCUACGAACAAAACUUGAGAAGGGAAGUAUUCGUCGAAUGGAACGGGCGAUGAAGCAGACCCAGGCACUUGCAGACCAAUUUGAAGAGAAGACAACAUCAGUUUGUGAACGUAUGAAGAUAUUUUACAAUUGCCAGGUUCCUCCACACUGGGCCAUACAGCGUCAACUUGCAAGCUUACUUUUUGACCUUGGAUGUACCACUUCAGCUCUGCAGCUCUUCAAAAAGCUUGAAAUGUGGGAAGAUGCUGUUAUCUGUUAUGAAAGAACAGGCCAGCAUGGGAAGGCAGAAGAAAUUUUAAGGCAGGAGUUAGAGAAGAAAGAAACAGUAGGAUUAUACUGCCUGCUUGGAGAUGUUCUUAAAGACCAUUCAUAUUAUGACAAAGCUUGGGAACUGUCUAACCACCGCAGUGCCAGAGCUCAGCGCUCAAAGGGCCUCCUUUACCUUCGCAACCGGAAUUUCAAAGAAUGCAUAGAGUGCUUUGAGCAUUCUGUAAAGAUUAACCCAAUGCAGUUGGGGGUGUGGUUUUCCUUAGGCUGUGCCUAUUUAGCAUUGGAAAACUACGAAGGUGCUUCCCGGGCUUUUCAGCGCUGUGUAAUGUUGGAACCUGAUAAUGCAGAGGCUUGGAACAAUCUAUCUACUGCAUAUAUCAGAUUGAAACAGAAAAUUAAAGCAUUCCGGACUCUUCAGGAAGCUCUCAAGUGUAAUUAUGAGCAUUGGCAGAUUUGGGAAAAUUACAUUUUAACCAGUACAGAUAUUGGAGAAUUUUCAGAAGCCAUUAAAGCUUAUCACAGGCUUAUGGACUUAAAAGAAAAGUAUAAAGAUGUCCAGGUGCUUAAGAUUCUGGUAGAAGUAGUCAUGGAUGGAGUAGGUGACCGAAAUGGAGAGACAGCCGAAGGAUUAAAGGGAAAACUGCAGGCCCUCUUUGGCAGAGUGACUUCUCGAGUGACAAGUGAUGGAGAAAUCUGGAGAUUAUAUGCCAAGCUUUACGAAAAUGGGCAGAAUGAGAACUACGAAGACAUAGAAAAGGCAUUGCAGUAUCUCACCAAAGCAUACAAAUAUGAAAUCCAAUCAGGUGACUGGGACAAAGAUACUUCCUCUUUUAAGAAAGUAGCCAGAGAUGCUCUAGAGCUUGCACAUGUUGCAAUGAAAUGUAGCAAAAUGAAAACUAAUUACCAAGAAGCCUUGCCAAUACUCUCUUCUGCCCGACUCAACUUGCGCAGUUUGGUUGCCAAAGCAAAGCAAAAUUUUGCAGAUGCUGCAAGUGAUGAAAUUUCCAGCGACCUCACUGAAGAAGUGGCAGAAAUGGAGAAUUUGAUGAUGGAAUUGCAUGAACUUAGCAACCAGCUAAGGAAUCAGACUUGAGAAAAAGAAGAUCCAAUUUCUUGGAAAGACGGAAGGGCAAGGCUGGCACGCUUCACUAGUUGUAGCUUGUGCUGAUGAACAUUCAGUAAAUCAAAGACCCAAAGGCAUCUUUUAAAUAAAUAUUUCUUCAUACCGCACAACCAUUAAUAUUUGCCAACAAGUUUUUCUAGUUAUAUUUUUUCUUUCCCAGUUAUGUGUGAUUUGCAUUGGCUUGAAUUUUAUGGAACAAAUUGUGCCUGUUUUUUUUUUUAAAUUUAGGAAUCCUUUUUUCUUUAAGAUUAGAUCUUUCCCGCUACAAAAGUAAUUGGCUUCUGUCCAUAGUUGUGUACUUUAUGCCUAUGAACAAUUGGACAGUUUUAUUCGUGGUGGAAGUGGGAAGGAAAGGGCUAUUUGAUUUGAUUGUGUCAACAGGAACCUGAAAAUAUAGAAGUGGGAAUACAAAAUGGAAGCAACUGUUUUCUGGGAUUUUUAAAGCAAGAGGACCCAGUUGUGUUUUCCUCAGCUUAUGCUUUUCAAGUGCAAGUAUUAACACACAAAGUAACACUUGCCGAGAAAGUUUGUGCUAAUUAUUUUCAAAACACAAGUUUAGGAAUAUAGAUAGUGGGACUCAGCAUAUAAUGGAGACUUGUUUUACUUUUAAUGAAAAUUAGUAGAAAAUACAUAGAAUAUUGUUCACUUUAUGCUCUUCCCCUUAAGUGAAGAAUUUAGACAAGUACUACAAAAUUUGAAUAGCUGAAAUCAAACAGCCCAAGCUGUCAUACUAUACAAUAUAGGAAACCUUCUCCAUAAAUACUUAGAAUGAUAUAUAAGUAGUUGCUUCAAUCAGGCAUGAUUCAAAUGCUGCAGUACUACCCACUAUAGAAACAUUUUUUGUUAAUCAUUCCUCAUGAUACUAAUAAAAAGUUAGAAAUACUAUAAUUCUACUUUUCAUUCAGCACCUAUUCUAUAGGGUUAAUCAUAAUUGUUCAAUUCAGAGUUUGAGCAAAUAUUCCUAUAAUUCAGUUUGUUGAUUAGGAUGUCAAAUGGGUAUCUUUUUAGUUGUUAAUUCUUAGAAAGGUAGAUUAGGUUUCAUAAAAACUUUUGGAACUUUUUGUUUAAAAAAAACCAAUAGUCUAAGCAUUAACAAGUGACCAGAAAAACAAUACAACAAAAUACAAUUGAGGCAAAGUAUCUGAAGUAUUUUUUAUACUCAAUAGCAAAAUUACUUUUCUGGUUAAAAUCCUGAAUUGUCUGAACCUCGUUUUCUUUCAAAGUGACUGACUCUUUGGCUUCCAGAUAAUGGAGAACAAGGAAAUGAAGUCACAAAGGUGUGAGAAAGGAGGUAAAUAGUCCCCUUCUAAAUUGAGCUACCUUAGUUUUCUUUGUUAUCUGGUGCUGGAUCUCUUAAAUCAUUCACCUUUAGAUAAUGUUAGGCUAGGCGCAGUGUGCGAACAUUCCUGAUAUUGUUUGUAAGAGUGAUUAUGUUUCAGUAUCAUUGGUGAACUCAUUUUUAGUGAAGUUCCAACAAUAGAAAUAUGUGUUACACAAGUCUACAGAGGAAGUAGGAUCAUUUCCUUUUUAUUGUGAUAUAAUGGUUUUAAAUCUUUCACAUCUCUGCCAAGAAUAGACAUUGAGCAUGAUAGAUAGUUGGCAGGGCAUUGAUGCUCAAAAAUUAUCUUACAUAUUUUAAAGAGGAAGUGGAAAAAUGUGCAAAAAUAGCUGCAUUGACUUUUUUUAAAAAAAUAUGUUUAUAUUUUAAAAAGAUGUCCAU